UUCCUCAACAGCUAGCCCAACCCACACCCACCAACAAACCACAUUAAUAUCCUCUAAUGCACUUCCCCAAAACAUCAAACCAUUUUUCCACCCAAGUAUAGGAGAUAGAACGGGAUCUGAGGCGCGACAGAACAAGUACCGCAAGGGAAAGCUGAAAGAGAGAUGAAACAGCUCAACGAAGGAACUUAAAGCAGAGCUUAACCCUCGUACCUUUUGCAUCAUGCUUUAGCUAGCAACUUCAGGCAAAAAGCCUUUUAUGUCUGACCCCCCGAAACCAAGCGAGCUACUCCAAGACAGCCUGUUGAAGGGCAAACCCGUCUCUGUGGCAAAAGAGUGGGAAGAUCUUUGAGUAGAGGUGAUAAGCCUACCGAGCUUGGUGAUAGCUGGUUGCCUGAGAACAGAAUAGGAGUUCGACUUUUUAGCAUCUUUAAUCGACCCAGGUCUUUCCCACAGUCCGGCCAAGAGAUUACUAAAAGAGAUAUUCAAGGGAGGAACAGCUCCCUUGAAAAAAGAUACAACUUUCUUAGCAGGCUAAAGAUUACAUUUGAUAAGGCACCAACACCCAGGUGGGCCUAAGAGCAGCCACCCUAAAAAAAAGCGUUAAAGCUCAAGUGUUCAAACCCUAGUAUUUCAACAACCCAAUCUUAUGCCCCUUCGAUUACCAGGCCUCUUCAUGCACUUCAUGAAGGUGUUUAUGCUAAUAUGAGUAAUAAGAGCGCUAAGGCUCUCUCGUGUGCACCUGUGUACAUCAGAACGAACCCCCACUGAAAAUUAACGCCCCCACAAAGAGGCUGCUGAGCAAAGGCACAAAGGACUAGAAAACCCCUCAAACUACAAGCGUUAACCUCACACCAGUGUGCCCCACGAAAGACAUAAAGAAAAAGAAGGAACUCGGCAAACAUCUGGCCUCGCCUGUUUACCAAAAACAUCGCCUCUUGCCCAAUAUAAGAGGUCCCGCCUGCCCUGUGACGAAAGUUUAACGGCCGCGGUAUUUUGACCGUGCGAAGGUAGCGUAAUAACUUGUCUUUUAAAUAAAGACCUGUAUGAAUGGCAUAACGAGGGCUAAGCUGUCUCCUUUUUCCAGUCAUUGAAAUUGAUCUCCCCGUGCAGAAGCGGGGAUAAAGCCAUAAGACGAGAAGACCCUAUGGAGCUUCAGACGCCAGGAUAGCCCCUGUCAAGACCCCCGCCUGCUCGGGACAGAACCACAAGGGCCCCUAUCCCCCUGUCUUUGGUUGGGGCGACCGCGGGGAAACAUAAAACCCCCACGUGGAAUGGGCACAUUACCCUAAAGCCAGAGCCACAGCUCUAGCAAACAGAAUAUCUGACCAACAAGAUCCGGCACCGCCGAUCAACGGACCCAGUUACCCUAGGGAUAACAGCGCAAUCCCCUUUUAGAGCCCAUAUCGACAAGGGGGUUUACGACCUCGAUGUUGGAUCAGGACUUCCUAAUGGUGCAACCGCUAUUAAGGGUUC
rnacentral:rRNA from 1 species